UAGUUUUUAGGCAUGAGAAUGAGAGGAUGAAGAUAAGAAAAAAUCUAGAAAAAAUGUAAGAGAAGAGGGAGAGAAAAUGGAAAGGAAGGGAGAAAGAAAAAGAAAAGUAUGAGAUACUUAUCCUAAAAUCAGAUUGUUCAUAUGUUGAACAUAAAAUUUGAUUAGAGUGUGGUUUGAUACUUUGGGAAAGGGUUCCUAAAAUGGUCUUAAUGGAGGUUAUGAAGGCAUACAAGCAAUGGUAUAUCAAGUUCUUGCGAAGAACGGUCGGCAGCGCACUUGCGAAGAAGACUGCAGCACCAUGACAAGUUGGGAAGGGCCCUGAUCAAUCCUGUAUGGAUCACCGUUAGAGGGCUCUACUUUGGAGUCUUGUGGACAUCUCAAAAUUAUCAGUUUAUGAUCUUUAUGGUAGUAUAUGACUUCUGGUCUUCUCCUCAUAUGCUUGAUUUUGUGAUUUGAUUGUAAUCAUCAAGGGGUUCCUUGGAUUUUUGAGUUUCGAUUGUUGUGUUUAAAUGUUAAACCUUAUUUUCAUUAUUG
rnacentral:lncRNA from 1 species